rnacentral:lncRNA from 1 species
AUGAAGUAUAAUAAAUUUAAUAUUUGAAUUUAUUUAAAUAUUAACAUUAAUAUACUUCUGCAUAUUUUUACUAUUAUAAUUGAGAAAAAAUACAUUUUUAGAAAUGAGGCAAAUCAGCCACACUUUCAUAGGACACAAUGCAACUGCUUUAUAUCUUUGAUUUAUUUAAAUAUUGAAUGCUACAAAUAUAUCUCUAAAAAUUUAUGUACAGUCAUAUGUAUCCAUAUAUUUUUAAUAUAAAAGAAAUUAAAAGAAGAAAAUGAUCUUUGUUAGGAAUAAAUAUGAUGGGUAAUAAGCUGGAGUAAAAGCAAGACAGGAAUGCAGUGCAAUUAGGCUGACUAAUCUUACAAUCUUAUAAAAAAAAAUUUCCACACUUGACUAGCCUAUGCAUAAGCAUGUAUUUAAAAAUGUUAUUCUCCUUCUUAAAAAUUUUUUGGUGUGGUUUUUCAAGUAUACUUGUUCACAGUUAUUUCAAAUUCAUUGCAUUCAGUUCACUCACAAUUUGUAUUCAUCUCUCUUUGAACAAUUUUCUGCCAUUUAUCCUUAUUUUUCUUAUAUGCCCCAAUCAUGUAACAAGUGUCUUUAGAUCUUGUUCAUUUUCAGA